GAGGGUAUAGCUCAGUGGUAGAGCGCACGCUUAGCAUGCACAAGGUCCUGGGUUCGAGCCCCAGGACCUCCA
rfam:Camelus ferus unplaced genomic scaffold scaffold1792, whole genome shotgun sequence.